UAUUCACUCAAUCGUACAGACCCUCCUGCUCCCAUACUUCCACGAGAAAUUCUACCAUGUCCUGUUAAUACCAACCCAAUAAGCAUUACAACAGGAUGAUGAACUAACAUAAUGCAAUACAAAAAAUCAAGCAGAAUUCCCACCAAAGGAAAACGAAGACUUACAGACAAAGGAAUGCGUUGCGCAUAAGGCGACUGUCUCUGUUUGGUUCCAACCAAUCUUUCAUAAGUUGCAUUCCAACUGCAAAGGACAUAGUUAGUCGACCACUGGGAGAAAGAUCAAGGCAAAUUAAAAUGCAAAAUAUAGUUAAAUAAAAUAUGUCUACUAGAUACACCUGCUUACGGGAUUUCCGCCAUUCAUGAGAUCCUUUAAUUCACCAGCAAAUAUGGACAUGCGAACUUGUUUCGAGCAUAAAGUAAUCAAACGGUGGAAUUUUUGAGUGAUUCCAAUUGAAGCGGGUUCGUGAAUCUGUCAAGAAGGUUGUGUCAAAAUUUCAUAAUUUUAUCCUGAAGCAUCUGACCGUGGCGAAUUAAUUUAUGCCCAGCGCACAGUGCUGGCAGAUUGGGCUGCAGAGCUUAUUUGCGACUUUUGGGCUGGAAGAUGAUGGAUUUUGGACUUGGACUCUUCUUGGAACUUGAAGAGGAUGUCCUAAUCAUUAAUUUGAGUCGUUUUAGGCCUGUUUUAGAGCCCUGAAGGUCCAGAAACGUGGCUAUCUUUUUGAUGGGCAGAUUUCCUAGUCAGAAUAGGAAUGUAAUUUCUAGUUAUCCUUUCGUUAUUUUAUUUCCUAGUUUUUAAAAAACCUUUUCUAUGAGGGUUUUGAUUUGGAGUAGUAUAAAUAAGGCUUUUUAGCCAUUAGGGUUCUGGGGGGAUGCAACAUUGAGAGAAUUUAGCAUUAUUUUGGAGAACUUCAGACUUUUUACCUACAAGGUGUUUUCAAUCCUUUUCCUAGUUAAUAUAUUUUCUUUAGUUUUUAUUA